ensembl:lncRNA
AUGUUAAAAAACACACCUGUGGAAGAGAUCAUGGCUGGUAAUUUCACCAGAAGCCUCACCAAGGAUGUCUUAAAGACAAUUUCAUCUGAGGUUAAAAAGAGUGCAAGGCUCCAUGAUGAUGUAAUGCUUGAACUCAUGCUUACACAAAAGGUCAUUGAAGAGAGCAGCAGUCAUGCAUCCUCAAAAGGCUAUCUUCAGCGCCUGCAAAUUGAUCCUUUUGCUGUACAUUUACAAACUGAUACUGGAAUCAAUAUUUUAGCUCAACAUUUAAAACAAACACCAACCGCCCUCUACCUUGAUGCUACAGGUGGUGUGGUGCAGAAAAUUCCUGACCAAAACAAAAGGGUACUGUAUUAUGCUCUAGUUUUGCCAGGCAUGGGCAAGGAUAAGCCUCCUUUGCCCGUCACAGAACUCAUAACCAACAGCCAUUCCAUUCCAUCCAUUUCCUAUUGGCUAAUGGAAUUCCAGAGGAAGUUGUCACAUACAACAAAAAGACGAAUAACACAGGUUGAGACUGAUUAUAGUUGGGCUCUAAUUAACAGCGUGCUUCUGUCCUUCAACAAGGAGAAUAUUUCAAUGUACCUCAUCAGAGCAUUUGGAAUAGUGUCUGGACAAAGUGAACAGAUUCCCAAGUUCACUGUGCUGCAUCUGUGCUCUGCACAUAUCAUGAAGGCUGUGUCACAAGCAUUUGGCAGGAAAACAGGAGACAGAGGCAUACAAGAAUAUGCAACAUUCAGUUUUGCUUACCUCCUGAACUGCACAAGUAUGCAGGUGGCCCAUGAGGUUUUUUAUCAUAUGUGUGUGCUUUUUGAUGCAGAGGAGUACACUCAUUUGGUGAAACAGAGCAAAACAUACCUCGACAAGUGUGUUUUGAAAAUCCAGGACAUAAAGCUGGAAGAAAGUGGACAUGUGAUGGGAGAGGAGGAAAGCAACACUGAGAAAUCUGCUAACAGUGCUGUUGGAAAGUCACCUUUUACGCAUGCUUUUCAAGCCAGUCGUGACCAAGCACAGUGUGACAUCCUAACAGAAGAUCCUGUUGGCAUUGGCAUAAACAACCAUUACCUCUGUCCUGGUGUCAUCAAUGUGCUGUUUAAAAACUAUAUGGGAAUUUUCCCAUUGUGGGGUGGUUUGUUGCUUGGGGAUCUGUCACGGCAUGGAAAAUGCACAACCAUCGAAACAAAUGGAAGAGAAAAAACCAGGGAUACCAACUGCCAUGUUGAACUCUGGUUUGGUUUGGUCAAACACUCUAUCUUGUUAAAAAAAAAGUACCUGAGACCUGCAGAGUUCAUAUCCAAAAUGUUUGCCUCAAUGCAGGGAAGAUAUGUAGAGCACGUUGAGCAACAUAAUCUGCCAAUUCAGAUUCUGGAUAAAACAGUCACAAGUUCUCGCAGGCCAGAUGAUGACCAUGAAGAACAGUGGAAGAAGCGGGACAGCUCUACAGGUCAGUCCAAGUCCAAGUCCAAGUACUUCAAUCCACCAGAAAAACUACCAAACCCCAGGAGCCUACAUGCCAAAGAAGUGAAGAAAAGAAAAGAGGCUCAGGAUCAACAAGUUAAAGAUGCACAGUUAACAUUACUGUGGAAAAAGAGGGACACAGAAAUGGUUGUUGCACUACUCCCUUCACAGAUUAAGGGGCGCAGCAUCCUUAUCCACCAUAGUGAGCUAUGCUCACUUCGACCAUACCAGUGGUUGACAGGGGAGGUACGUGACUGUGUGAUUUUAAGUAUCAGUUUCACUCGGCACUGUGACAUUUACUUUAUCUAGCAUUUUAAGACUUAUAUCAAGA